rnacentral:rRNA from 1 species
GCUAAACGCGAAGAACCUUACCAAGGCUUGACAUGCAUCUCUAAGCGCGUGAAAGCGCGUGACCCUUCGGGGGAUUUGCACAGGUGCUGCAUGGCCGUCGUCAGCUCGUGUCGUGAGAUGUUGGGUUAAGUCCCGCAACGAGCGCAACCCUUGUGAUUAGUUGCCAGCACGUCAUGGUGGGAACUCUAAUCAGACUGCCCAGAUCAACUGGGAGGAAGGUGGGGACGACGUCAGGUCAGUAUGGCCCUUACGCCUAGGGCUGCACACGUACUACAAUGCCCAGUACAAUGAGAACCGAGACCGCGAGAUGGAGGAAAUCUAAAAAACUGGGCCCAGUUCGGAUUGGAGGCUGCAACUCGCCUCCAUGAAGCCGGAAUCGCUAGUAAUGGCACAUCAGCUACGGUGCCGUGAAUACGUUCCCGGGUCUUGUACACACCG